CUUUCUGAAGGUUUAACCCGCAAAUAUGCCAAAUGGAACGCAGCUUAUAUUCACGAUUCCUUGAAUAAUGUCGGAAUUCCAUUGCCGUUUCUCAUUAACGAUGCACCCAGGAUUGCAUUUACCGUCUAUGAAAAUAUUCAUGAAGCGUUCCAAAAUUAGCUCCGAGCAACUAAAAGUUGGUUAAGCUUAAGUGAAAUAGUUUUUUAUUAAAUAUUUAUUCCUGGUAUUUA